rnacentral:SRP_RNA from 1 species
GAACGGUCCCCUCGCAGCGAUAGAUAGCGAACCCCGCCAGGCCCGGAAGGGAGCAACGGUAGUUAUCGACUCGGGUGCCGAGGUGUGGCUGUUCGAG